rnacentral:lncRNA from 1 species
GGACUGAGUCCUUGUCUGAAAUUGCAGACAAAUCAUGCAUCUUUCUGGAAGGAGGUUUGCCACCAGAAGGUUUUAGAACUGCUGGCCUGAGGACGCCACCAGGAACCAAUUGUUGCCGUGGGGUUCUGACCCUUGGUUUUCUGUCACACACAACAGCCCUAUUCCCAGGCCAUGUGAAUGAAGUGUUUUGAUUCGCCCCAGAUGUGAUCAUGUGAUUGUGAAUUGACCAACUGGAUCAUCAC